rnacentral:rRNA from 1 species
CCUACGGGGGGCAGCAGUGGGGAAUAUUGGACAAUGGGCGCAAGCCUGAUCCAGCCAUGCCGCGUGUGUGAAGAAGGUCUUCGGAUUGUAAAGCACUUUAAGUUGGGAGGAAGGUUAGUAACUUAAUACGUUGCUGAUUUGACGUUACCGACAGAAUAAGCACCGGCUAACUCUGUGCCAGCAGCCGCGGUAAUACAGAGGGUGCAAGCGUUAAUCGGAAUUACUGGGCGUAAAGCGCGCGUAGGUGGUUAUGUAAGUUGGAUGUGAAAUCCCCGGGCUCAACCUGGGAACUGCAUCCAAAACUGCAUGGCUAGAGUACGGUAGAGGGUGGUGGAAUUUCCUGUGUAGCGGUGAAAUGCGUAGAUAUAGGAAGGAACACCAGUGGCGAAGGCGACCACCUGGACUGAUACUGACACUGAGGUGCGAAAGCGUGGGGAGCAAACAGGAUUAGAUACCCGGGUAGUC